CUGUUGAUGGGCAAUGGAUACUCUGUCUGGGUCACCUCUGAGAGCUGUCAUUUGUCAGCAUUGCCUCCUGGUAUUUCUGCCUCCAUUGCAGUCUGGUUGGCAUCUGGUACUGUCCAUCCCAACCUUCAGACUGUGGCUGGGACUGCAGUGGCGUCAUCUCAGGGGCCCCGCCUGUGAGCACCUCCAGCUGUGGAGAGCUGGUUCCUGGCCUGUGGUUUGCCACGAAAUCCUCACCCUGGUUGGCAGGAUGGCACCAUCUUGGAUGAGCAGCCUUUGGACACUAACUGGGGUGUCCUUUGAAGAAGAUGGCUGUGAAGAAAGAGACAGAGGAAAACGCCUGUGAUGACCAAGACUGUGAUGCAAGACAAGUAAUGUCAAAGAUCCUGCCAGAAUCUACCCUAAAGAAGAUGGACACACUCGGCAUAAAGAAACUGCAGCAUCUUUUGUCGGGGUGGAAAAC